ACGCUGCGGCAGGCUACACAUGCAAGUCGAGCGGUAGAGAGAAGCUUGCUUCUCUGAGAGCGGCGGACGGGUGAGUAAAGCCUAGGAAUCUGCCUGGUAGUGGGGGAUAACGUUCGGAAACGGACGCUAAUACCGCAUACGUCCUACGGGAGAAAGCAGGGGACCUUCGGGCCUUGCGCUAUCAGAUGAGCCUAGGUCGGAUUAGCUAGUUGGUGAGGUAAUGGCUCACCAAGGCGACGAUCCGUAACUGGUCUGAGAGGAUGAUCAGUCACACUGGAACUGAGACACGGUCCAGACUCCUACGGGAGGCAGCAGUGGGGAAUAUUGGACCAUGGGCGAAAGCCUGAUCCAGCCAUGCCGCGUGUGUGAAGAAGGUCUUCGGAUUGUAAAGCACUUUAAGUUGGGAGGAAGGGCAUUAACCUAAUACGUUAGUGUUUUGACGUUACCGACAGAAUAAGCACCGGCUAACUCUGUGCCAGCAGCCGCGGUAAUACAGAGGGUGCAAGCGUUAAUCGGAAUUACUGGGCGUAAAGCGCGCGUAGGUGGUUUGUUAAGUUGGAUGUGAAAUCCCCGGGCUCAACCUGGGAACUGCAUUCAAAACUGACUGACUAGAGUAUGGUAGAGGGUGGUGGAAUUUCCUGUGUAGCGGUGAAAUGCGUAGAUAUAGGAAGGAACACCAGUGGCGAAGGCGACCACCUGGACUAAUACUGACACUGAGGUGCGAAAGCGUGGGGAGCAAACAGGAUUAGAUACCCUGGUAGUCCACGCCGUAAACGAUGUCAACUAGCCGUUGGGAGCCUUGAGCUCUUAGUGGCGCAGCUAACG
rnacentral:rRNA from 1 species